UACGUAGGGUGCGAGCGUUGUCCGGAAUUAUUGGGCGUAAAGAGCUCGUAGGCGGUUUGUCACGUCUGCUGUGAAAUCCCGAGGCUCAACCUCGGGCCUGCAGUGGGUACGGGCAGACUAGAGUGCGGUAGGGGUGACUGGAAUUCCUGGUGUAGCGGUGGAAUGCGCAGAUAUCAGGAGGAACACCGAUGGCGAAGGCAGGUCACUGGGCCGCAACUGACGCUGAGGUGCGAAAGCGUGGGGAGCAAACAGG
rnacentral:rRNA from 1 species